CAGACCUAAAGAAGAAAAUAAAAGAUCACAACUCCAAGGUCUGCUUUGGAUUUUCAAAUUCAGCCCACACAACAGGUCAUGCGUAUGUGGAAGAAGAAUGGCGUUGUCCCGUGCGGUCUCAUAAAGCAGGGAAAGACCAGUGAACCCGGGUCACGUGGAGGCAGCGUCAGCGCAGCUAUCUGAAAAUGGAAUGUGCGAACGGACACGGGAGAAGGAAGUUCAAUCCCAGGAAGAAACAGUGGUUCCGUUUUGCUAACUGGCCAAAUUAACUGAAGACGGCAGACCUUUUCCAAUUCUAGGAUUUCACAGUUACACGGCGCCCUUCCUUCCUGGACGGCAUGAGCACAGGAGCCCCGCGAGCCCGCAGCGUGGCCUCCUGCGGACAGAGACAGGCCUCUACUGGGCUGUGCCCACGCGCAGGAGCCGGUCCGUCUCGUUGCCCUGUGGAAAAUGGCACUCUGAUCCCAGACCAUGAUGCCAUUUGGACUGAGGUGACGAUUUCACCUGAGGGCCCGGAAGCAGGGUUUCCUUCAGAUGUGCAGAUCCUUCAGGAUCGUCUUCUUUAUGGUCUCUCACGUUAUUUUCAGGAACAAAGGCCUAAAGAUUGGCUGGACUGGGUCCACUUCAAUACCACUGAAAGGGCGCACAAACAGAUCAUGCGAAUGACACAAAGGACACUCUGUUGUGGUUUCCCUGAGGCACUACUAAAACGCAGGGAGACUGGAUUUCAGAGACAACACUACAGACCCAUCCACCGCAGAGCUCAUGUCCUCGCCCAGAAGGCAGGCGCGCUGCCUCGGCCCCUUCCGACCUUCACACGCUUCUGUUUAUCCUGUGUAACUGCAACGUACGAAUAACGUUCCCGACGGUGACCGAGGGUAGGAAAAAUGUACAAAGGAGACAAAAAUAGUUACAUUACGUGAUCUCUAAAGUCAUUCCCAACUCCAACCAUCUCAUUUAAGAAAAGUCAGAUUAAAAUCUUCAUGUCCACCCCUCCCUCCUCAGGCGUGACCUCGGGCAAGUUCCCUUCUGGGAAGGACACCUUCCAAGGACUGGCUGAGCCCAGAGCCAUCGCUCACCUGACCGGGGUCACUGUAGUCACACGCUUUAAGCACCACCAGGCCUCCUUUCUGACUCGGGCGGCCCUGGGCCACCAGACACUUGUUGGUCUGGAGGUGAUAGAGCUGUAAAAGGAGAGAUCGCUCUUGUCAGAAGAUGCCUUAGAUGCUAGAUAAGGAGGUUUUAGAUGAAAUGUGAACCGAUUACUCCAAAGGUAUGAAUUUCAAAGGUCCUAAGAAAAUAAGCAUUUUUUUAUUCCUUAAUUCUAGCUUCAGUACAUAAGGGUGUCACGGUAGACUUUAAGGUUAAAGGCAGUUUUAACAGUAUAUGCAGGCAAUGCCAAGUAGAAAUUCUAAAAAUAUAGGUUUACUAAUCUAUUCUAGGGGAGGAAGGAAAUUAAAACCUCUCUGCCCUCAAGAACCUUCAAAUGAAAUCAAGGAAAUAAGACUAAAAGUACCGACCAGACAGCACGUAACUGAAUGAAAUAUACAGGCUAAACUGGAGGGAGACACCGAUCGGGAACAGCACAGGGGAGACCCAGAAAAGCAGCAAAGAGUAUGCAGUUUGGGUAAAGGGCUACAACUACAUGGGCAUACGCUGUGUUUUUACUUUAAAAACAAAAGGUGGUUUUGUUUUCAUAAAGAGGACAAGGGGAAAGCUCUAGGCUUACUUUAGCCACUGAGGAACAGUCGGCAUCACGAAAGAUCCUGACAAGUGCCUUCUUCUGAACACCAAAGAAGAGAAAACUGCAACAGAGUAGCUACACUUUGAGAAAGCAAAUUCUAAGAAAUGAUUCAGGAAAAAGGUAUGACUUUACGGCUAGACCCCUAAACUUUAAAAGUGAUGUAAAACUGUGAAGAAAUUCCUUAAGAAAUAAAAGAGAACGGGGGCGCCUGGGUGGCUCAGUCAGUUAAGCAUCCGACUUCGGCUCAGGUCAUGAUCUCACAGUUCAUGAGUUCAAGCCCCGCGUCGGGCUCUGUGCUAACAGCUCGGAGCCUGGAGCCCGCUUCGGAUUCUGGGUCUCCCACUCUCCCUCUCUGGCCCUUCCCUGCUUGCGGUCUCUCUCUCUCAAAAAAGGGAGGAAGGAAAAAGAACUUCAAAAGAAACGUGGCCGCUCAUGGGUGUUCCUGCGCAGCACGUGGGUCCUUACACACUGGGUGUGAACUGGAGGGACGCGCCCCAUCUCUCACUUGCUCUCCUGAGUCGGUUCCCGAGCUGCAGCCACAGAGCAGAGUGUGACCCCAUUUCUCCUUUUCUUUUCUUUUGGGACCGGACUCUGCCCAGGGAGCUUUACGCUCUCCUGUGGCUUUUAUUUGCAUAUCGCAUAGUCACGUUGACGUCCACCCUCUCGGCAGCUAGCCUAUCACUUUGAGAAUCGUGUGCUCCUGAAUGCUGGCAGGUGAAGGGUGUUAAUGGUAACAGUGAAGACAGGAACAUUCCUAAGGUCUCACUCCGAGCAGAGGAAGCUCCCACAGAAAGAAUGCAACGGAAGCAAGCUAACGUCUAUCACUAAAAUGAUACUUUCAGUCUAAAAUGUCAUUUGUCUUAUCACACAACUUUGAAUAAAACGCUGAUAAGAUUACUUCCUUACCCUUCCACGCUGAAGGACUUUGGGACGUUUUGGCCCUCUGUUGAUAAAAAUGGGUUGUUGGGGUUUGGCAUUGGGCCCAGAUAUCUGCAUCUCUGGGUAAAUAUUAUCCAAAUACCACUUAAAUGAUUUACAGCCCAACUUCCUCCUCAGUUCAACACGCUCACUGAUGUUUCCGUAACUUUUGGUCCUCAGGUCAGGUCUUAAGGAAAAAUACUGCUCCUGAAUUUUAAAAAGAAAAACGAAAAAUAAGGGAAUGGCCUUUUUGUUUAAAAUUAAGUAUUAUCAAUUGUACCUGAGUCUUAAAGAGCUGAAGUAUUUUUCACGCUGGUGUUUUCUUCACGUUGCCAGAAGAUGUCAACAUGAAGUUAUCAAUUAGGUCCGUCGUUGAUGGUAAGACAUUUUAAACUCUAGGAAACGUCCGAACCUCAGAAUUGGCAACACAUGUAAAAAUGUGAUCCCAGAAUCAAGGAAGCUGCACAUGAGGGGGCAGUUCUCUGACUCUGUCAGGACUAUGAUCUUAACGAUUACCAAAGACUCUGGGGAGGUUCGUGUGAGUUACAUCUGCUCGUGUUUACCAGGAGAGACGUGAAAACAUUUGUCAACUCUUUAAAAACAACUCAUUACCUAUGAACAUAAACAUGCUUUGAACAAGAAAUUUAGUGAGAACAGUAACACUGCUUUACAGGUUUGCAAAUCUUUUUAAUGUCUGGCUAGAAAGAAGUCAGCUGAAUUCUCAAUUCUGCAUUCAACCUGUUAUUAUAUGUUGUCUGGUUAAAUACAUUUUUAAAAAUAUGAGCAUGUGAAAACAUACAGUCUGAGAUGGAAGGAGUAUUUUAAUAGCAUUUUCAGAGAAUUAUGGCUAUUCUUUUCUGAUAUUAUACCAGAACUCUAGCCCUUCACAUUCCACAUCGUAGCUAACCUUUAAAUUGUAUCAUUGAGCUUUCCUACUGUUGGGUUAAAAUCUGCUGUCUUGCUCUGUGACUGGAUCUUUUACCCAUCCAAGAUCUGCUUCCGCUGGGUUGUGAAGUUCUUUCAAAUAAUGACAAAUUUCAGUAUUAAGAAUUAUAUUCAUAAAUAUUCCUAAUCUCAGAAAAGCGUUUAAGUACCGGAAGCGAGUAAGCUCAUAGGGGUGGAUACAAGUUUUCCAAAACUGUAAUUUUUCACCUGAAAGCUUGAAUUUUAUCAUUGGCAACAAAUGCUGUCUGUCGAAGUGAGAGGGUCAGUUGGUUCAUUUUUGAGACUAUCUGCCAAAUAUCCAAACAGAAAUAACCAUGGUUUGUGAGUCACUCUUUUCUCCAUUUAUGUAAAAGUAAAAGUGAUCAGUCCGGCUCACAAGUCGAACAGCUGCACACGUUUUUCCUUGCCACAACCACGGUGCUUCGGUGUGCAGUGAAAAGUGCUCUGUCCGCCACGUCUCGGCACUCCGAGCUUGCCAAGAUUCAGUGGAAUUUUUUGCACCACUCCACCGUUCCGGCACCAUCGGCGCAACGCCGACACGGUGAAAGGGGCAAGUCCCGUGUUAAUCUGACUGUGAAAACAGCUUCGGCCCAGCGUCCUCCUAGGAGGGCAGCCGGGAUCUAGGUGGGUCUGAGGGCCGCCGGGAGACAGUAUGACUCCAAGCUGGUGACCGUGGAGAAGGAGCUCAGAGUCUAGGAGAGGGACAAGGGAGGAGACACGCGGUGUGAUAGAGGCGUGACCAGGGGCCCGCACUUCGGGUCCCAAGCGGUGAUCUGCUUGGUUCUCAUUACCCCCACAGCACGCACCUCCAUACCCCAAAUGCACAGUGUCGUCACUGUGCAUUCCCUCCAUCGUCACUGAGUCCCCCAAACCUAACACGGAGCCUGGUAUGGAGCAGAUGCUCAAACGCCUGUUUACAAACAACCGUAUGCAAGGAUCCACAGCAGCACUUUUCACAACUCAUGAAAGGAUAAAACGUGGUGUCUUCGGCCAGGGAGUAUUAUUGGAUUACAGAGAAUGAAGUACCGGCACAUGGCGCCGUAUGGAUGAACCGGAAAACACCACCCUGAAUAAGAUGGCCACAAAAGGCCAUGUCCUGUAGGGUUCCAUUUGUACGAAGUGUCCAGAACAGGCACAUCCAGAGAGGCAGGGGGUAGAUUGGUGGUUGUCCAGGGCUGUGGGAGACUAGGGGGUGAUAAAAUGGUUUGUGAAUUAUUCCUCAGGAAAUCCGUGACCAAGGAAAUAAUCAUCACAGGGUGUGCACAGCGGAAGAGAAAGUGGGAGGCACGAUCCUGCACGUGCAGAGUCGGACGGGGAAGUGGCAGGGCCGGCACACGAACCCCAAGGGGCAAAGAGAAGGAGUCGCAGGACAGGAACGGAGACUCUGA